AACCUGCAGAAGGAUCAUUGUCGAUGCCUCACAAUCAGACCGACCUGCAAAUUCGUUUUUCCAUCUACCAGCAGGCAGGUAGGGGACGGGCUUCUUCCGUCCUCCCCNUGCUUUGCCUGUUGUGUUGGGUCGGGGGGACACAAAGCAUUGUUUUUCCCGACCUCUCCUCCUCCUUCCCAACAAACACAAACCCCGGCGCUUCGUGCGCCAAGGAACUCCAAUCUGUCAAGUGCGAUUCCCAACGGCUCGGAGACGGUGCCCCGUGGGCAUUGUCAUGACACACAUUAUUUAUACAAAAUGACUCUCGGUAACAGAUAUCUCGGCUCUUGCAUCGAUGAAGAACGUAGAGAAAUACGAUUAGGAAGAGGGUACGCCUGCCUGGGUUUCACACAUCAUUACCCCAACGCAAACAAAUGUCCCACACAACGGCCGUUGCGUAGUAGGGUGCAUGCUGACCUCCCACGAGCAUCGUCUCGUGGUUGGUUGAAAAUCGAGUUCGUGGCCGAGCACGCCGUGAUAAAAUGGUGGAUGAGUAACUCUCGAGACCAAUCACGCGUUGCGACUCGUCCGCUUCGGACUCCUUCACGACCCUAUAGUGCCUCUUCUUCAGAGACGCGCUCAACGAGACCUUAGGUCAGGCGGGGCUACCCGCUCAGUUUAAGCAUAUCAAUAAGCGGAGGA
rnacentral:rRNA from 1 species